rnacentral:rRNA from 1 species
UGGGGAAUAUUGCGCAAUGGACGAAAGUCUGACGCAGCGACGCCGCGUGUGGGAGGAAGCCCUUCGGGGUGUAAACCACUGUCAGAGGGGAAGAACCCCGUCGGUCAGAAUAUGGCCGGCGGCUGACGGUACCCUCAGAGGAAGCGCCGGCUAACUCCGUGCCAGCAGCCGCGGUAAGACGGAGGGCGCAAGCGUUGUUCGGAAUUACUGGGCGUAAAGGGCGGGCAGGCGGUCCGUUAAGUCUUCUGUGAAAAUCCGGGGCUCAACCCCGUGAAAUGCAGGAGAUACUGGCGGACUAGAGACCGGUAGAGGCUAGCGGAAUUCCUGGUGUAGCGGUGGAAUGCGUAGAUAUCAGGAAGAACACCUGUGGCGAAGGUGGCUAGCUGGGCCGGGUCUGACGCUGAUCCGCGAAAGCGUGGGGAGCAAACAGG